AUCUUUGUAUCCAGUUUCGGAACUAAAAAGAGGUUUAGUCAUGAGGGAACGCUGUGCAAAUCAGCGACAGUACCCGCUGCUGUAAUUCUCUAAGAAUCCGCACACAAAUGUCACUGUAUCCGUCAAUGGAUGUGGGAAGGCGCUGCGAGGGAGGGAUAAGUCAGAAGACCUGCCGGAACUUUAGAAAUGAAG
rnacentral:ncRNA from 20 species